rnacentral:rRNA from 1 species
UACAGAGGUCUCAAGCGUUGUUCGGAUUCAUUGGGCGUAAAGAGCUCGUAGGCGGUCUGUCGCGUCGGCUGUGAAAACCCGAGGCUCAACCUCGGGCCUGCAGUCGAUACGGGCAAACUAGAGUACUGCAGGGGAGACUGGAAUUCCUGGUGUAGCGGUGAAAUGCGCAGAUAUCAGGAGGAACACCGGUGGCGAAGGCGGGUCUCUGGGCAGUAACUGACGCUGAGGAGCGAAAGCGUGGGGAGCGAACAGG